rnacentral:lncRNA from 1 species
UGGAAAUUAGUAUGGCGUUCAUUAUCACUGAACUAGUAUAUAUUUGUUUAGGGGCCAGCUGAAGGACGCCUCCGGGUGCGGGAAUUUCUCGCUACAUUGUAGACCUGUUGGUGACUUCUGCUGUUGUUUUUUUUUAUUUGGUCGGGUUGUUGUCUCUUUGACACAUUCCCCAUUUCCAUUCUCAAUUUUAUCUCAUUACCUU